rnacentral:misc_RNA from 1 species
GAGAGAGAGAGAGAGAGAAUGUUCUUUCCCUUUGUACAUGAUAAAAAAAUUUUCACCUUGAGAUUUAGACAGAAAAAUUAUCAAAAUGUUAAGGUCAAAAGGUCUUAUGUGUCUUUCUAACACAAUUGCCAGAGCAAGAUUUAUUAGUAGUAGAACAAGAAUAUCAACAAAAUUGCCCUCUAAUCAAAUCAAAAUUACCUUUAUUAUUUUGGGAGUGUUCACUUUGCUUACCACCAAUAAUAUUUCCUUUUAUGAGUUCCUUUCCAAAAUUGAAUAAGCUUUUUUAAUUGAAUUCAUGCAAGGAUUGUUUUUAAACAUUUUUUAUAAUUUCAUGUGUUUCUUAAACCAUUAUACAUUUGUGUACAAGAAGAAUAGAAUUAAAAUUAAAAAAAGAAAAGACUAAAACAAGUUACAUCAUUGGCUCUUAUAACUAAAAAUGCAGGUUCUUUUAAAAAUUAUACCAUAGUUAGAAAUAUGGCAUGUGCCCCUCCAAAUUUGACUACAAUUGACACAAAUUUCAAAGGUUGAGCAUAUAAUUGCAAAAAUUAAAAGUAUCAGUUAUAAUUGCAAAUUUAAACAGAGGUUUGGAUUUUUGUUUCUUUCAGCAUUAAGCAUUAAAAACAACUGAUAUGGUGAAACCACCCUUCUUGUACAAUUGAAAUAAAAUUGAAGUACUUAGGGUGACAAAAUUACACUUAUUUUGAAUUUCCCCUGAGGAAAACCAAAUGCUAAAUGUUUGAGAUCAUUAUUGUGAAGUUUAAUUUUUACAUCCUAUCAGGACUGUGACGGGAAGAUUAAUCUUCUUUUAUUUAGUUCAUCCAAUUGCCAAAAGAUAUGUAUCAUUAAUAGGAUAGUUCCAUAAGGAUUAAUUAAUUCUAUUUAUCUGGUGUAAAAAGGAACACAACAAAAGAAAAU